GACGAACGCUGGCGGCGUGCUUAACACAUGCAAGUCGAACGGUGAAGCGCCUUCCUUUUUGGUGGGUGUGGAUGAGUGGCGAACGAGUGAGUAACACGUGAGUAACCUGCCCCCUUCUUCUGGAUAACCGCAUGAAAGUGUGGCUAAUACGGGAUAUUCUGGGUCUGUCGCAUGAUGGGUCUGGGAAAGAUAUUGUUUCGGUGGGGGAUGGGCUCGCGGCCUACCAGCUUGUUGGUGGGGUGAUGGCCUACCAAGGCGGUGACGGGUAGCCGGCCUGAGAGGGUGGACGGUCACACUGGGACUGAGACACGGCCCAGACUCCUACGGGAGGCAGCAGUGGGGAAUAUUGCACAAUGGGCGCAAGCCUGAUGCAGCGACGCCGCGUGAGGGAUGGAGGCCUUCGGGUUGUGAACCUCUUUCGCCAGUGAAGCAGGCCUGCCUCGUUUGUGGGUGGGUUGACGGUAGCUGGAUAAGAAGCGCCGGCUAACUACGUG
rnacentral:rRNA from 1 species